CCUACGGGUGACAGCAGUGAGGAAUAUUGGUCAAUGGGCGCGAGCCUGAACCAGCCAAGUAGCGUGAAGGAUGACUGCCCUACGGGUUGUAAACUUCUUUUAUAAAGGAAUAAAGUGCGGCACGUGUGCCUUUUUGUAUGUACCUUAUGAAUAAGGAUCGGCUAACUCCGUGCCAGCAGCCGCGGUAAUACGGAGGGUCCGAGCGUUAUCCGGAUUUAUUGGGUUUAAAGGGUGCGUAGAUGGGUUGUUAAGUCAGUUGUGAAAGUUUGCGGCUCAACCGUAAAAUUGCAGUUGAUACUGGCAGGCUGGAGUACAGUAGAGGUAGGCGGAAUGCGUGGUGUAGCGGUGAAAUGCUUAGAUAUCACGAAGAACACCGAUUGCGAAGGCAGCUUACUAAACUGCAACUGACAUUGAUGCACGAAAGUGUGGGUAUCAAACAGGAUUAGAUACCCUUGUAGUC
rnacentral:rRNA from 1 species